rnacentral:rRNA from 1 species
GCCGCGUGGGGGAUGACGGUCUUCGGAUUGUAAACCCCUUUCAGUAGGGACGAAGCGCAAGUGACGGUACCUGCAGAAGAAGCACCGGCCAACUACGUGCCAGCAGCCGCGGUAAUACGUAGGGUGCGAGCGUUGUCCGGAAUUACUGGGCGUAAAGAGCUCGUAGGCGGUUUGUCGCGUCGUCCGUGAAAACUCGGAGCUUAACUCCGAGCUUGCGGGCGAUACGGGCAGACUUGAGUACUACAGGGGAGACUGGAAUUCCUGGUGUAGCGGUGAAAUGCGCAGAUAUCAGGAGGAACACCGGUGGCGAAGGCGGGUCUCUGGGUAGUAACUGACGCUGAGGAGCGAAAGCAUGGGUAGCGAACAGGAUUAGAUACCCUGGUAGUCCAUGCCGUAAACGGUGGGCGCUAGGUGUGGGGUCCUUCCACGGAUUCCGUGCCGUAGCUAACGCAUUAAGCGCCCCGCCUGGGGAGUACGGCCGCAAGGCUAAAACUCAAAGGAAUUGACGGGGGCCCGCACAAGCGGCGGAGCAUGUGGAUUAAUUCGAUGCAACGCGAAGAACCUUACCUAGGCUUGACAUAUACAGGACGACGGCAGAGAUGUCGUUUCCCUUGUGGCUUGUAUACAGGUGGUGCAUGGUUGUCGUCAGCUCGUGUCGUGAGAUGUUGGGUUAAAGUCCCGCAACGAGCGCAACCC